ensembl:lncRNA
UCCAAGAAGAAAAAAUGGCAACUCUUGACAUACACUGAUGCUUUCUGAACAUUUAUGGAAACCAACCAUUAGAUGUGAGCCCAGUGAGGCAGUGUGAUGCAUUUCAUCAGUGGUGACAGUGACAUGAAACACAAGCCAUAUUCCGGAUGGCCAUGCAGAAUUUUCUAAGUGUGGCAUGAAGGCUCUUGUGGUGAGAAUGCACACUAAUGGUGGUACAUGAAUCCACAAGGUAUCCACCUCUCUUUUAGAAGAAAGAACUGUCCAUGGCUUGCUCAGAGCACAUGGGGUCUGGCCAAGAUGAAUGCAGAGGACUCUGAGCAGGACAUUGCUGAAGAAAAACUCUGAACAUGUUUUCUUCAGGAUUCAGUGUAGAGAAUGGGAUGGAAAAUAAGUCCAGCUCUUCUGGGUGACCACGAGGAGAGGAGCACAAGAGUCCUAAAUCCACUUUGGAUGCAAAAGAUCUUAACCCAGUAUCAAAUAUUAAUGUCCUAAUAUGUUUAAGGAAAGCUGAAGUUGCUGUUAUAAUUAAUUUCGUAUCUGAGGAAAAAAAAAGAAAAAAGUAUUGCUAACCACUUUUGGAAAGAAUUACACCAGCUCAGUUGAAAGCUUGUACAGAUCACCUGAAACAGCAUGCAAUAAUUUCAUGAAAUCGUACUGGAAGAGGAAAAGGACAAUUUCACAGAGGAUGGAAGCCUACCAAGAGCUUUCCUGAAAAUACCGAGGAAGAUGUCAUUAGCAGGUGAUGCUGCCCAGCUGUCUCAUGAGAAUACAUGGUCCAGUCACUGGAAUUCAGUCCAUCUGUAGCUCAGCAAAGGGCUCACCAUUCCAGACCACAUUCAUUUUGCCUAAAUCUGGCCAAAGAAGGACUGUGCAUGAUUAGUAUAUACAAUAGCAUUUGGUCCUGGGCCAAGCUCUCCUCCACCCAAUACCAGCACUGCUCAAUGUUGCGGUUUUUGUUAACCCACUUCUUCCAUUCUACUCUCAGCUUUACAAAACAGAUGGAAGGCACUGGGUGCUGGCUUGGCUUCUUCUGACAAGGCUGUGCCAAAGCACUAUGCCAGUAAAUCAAAUCACUCUAUCAGUGAAGUUGGUGACACUCUUUAAUGAAAAUGCCAACCUAGGAUCCUUGAACACAAAAGAAGCAACAACAGUCCAAUAGUUUUCACAAGAUGAUUGGGGCAGAUGACAAGAUGGAAGAGAGAGAGUCAGGUUGGCAAGCACUGUGAAUCAUCUCUUUUGAUCCCUACAUGUUUUUAUAGAACAAAUUGGAAAAGCAACAUCCAUGAGGAAAUACAUGAAGAUCUAACCCAUCCUGUGUGAAAAUAUUAAUUUCAUAAUGUAGGAACUGCUGUUCUAUCAAUACAUCUGAAAAACAGCCCAUAAUAAUUCAGGCAAGGGAAGACUGGGUUAAGGCGAUGAGUAAAAAAAUUAGAGAUAAAAGUUAGACUUCUCUGUGAUCUUGGAGAUUUGUUGUAAUCUCCAGAGUCAAAAAUUUGGCCC